CCCCACGAGGCAGCCGCGCGCUCGCGCCUCGACUCAAAAGCAACGGCUCAGCGUUCGCUCGCUCGCUCGCUCGCCCCCCGGGAGAGGGAAGGAGUGGGAGUGGGGCUUCGGCCGCUCGCAUUUACAUCUUUAACAGAACCCUGAUGAUGGAGGGGAAGAAGCUGUUCCUGAGUCUGGUGGUACAUGAUUUCCCCUCGGGAAUGGGAUCAUUUUUCGUCUGAAGAACGGCCUGAAUUGUUACCACACAAAGGGGUCAACUUGGCCUAGUGAUGAUGUCGAUAUCCUCCACUGCUCCGUGUCACUGUAGGCUGCACAUCUACACGCUCGACUUCUGUGGGAUCUCCAGCGGUGCAUCCAAUCCACGCGAUCCCCCAGCUGCUGCAGGGCCUCCAGUAGCCGACAUUUUGACCCACGAGCAUGCCAUCUCCUCGCCUCCCGCUGCUACCGCUUCACUUCCAUGCACUGGGGCACCUCUGCGCAGCCGACCGUGGAUCGCCAGGAUGUCUCCGAGAGUGCAGCAGACGAGCCCACAAUCCACGCACCGGCAUUGAUCUUCUCCUCUAUUCAUGAUGCAAGAGUGUCUCCAGAUGAAUAGAUAUUUCAAGAAACCAGCACAGGAAUGAAUCAUUGAACAAACUCCUCACAGGAUGUUAUAAGCUACUUACAAGAUUUGUAUCAAUGUAAACUUUACGGUUCUGAAGUUUGAGCUGCAAUAUGAAACAUUCUUCUGUAAAUCAUCACACAUUUCUUGACUCUUUAAUUCUGUGUUGUUAGUAUUUGUGCAAUUAAUUAAAAAACGGAUAUAUUUAUUUUUGUUAUAUAUUAAAAUGUGUGAAGUAAACUAGUUGAAACAGCUGUACUUUAUUACAUUUAAUAGACUCCCACUUAAAAUGUUGUUUCAACAUCUUUCCAGGAAGGCUAUACAAAUUUCAAAACUGCAACUUGAACAGUUGCUUGAUAAAAAAAAUUAUGGAAAAAUAGCGAUUUACCAUAAUCUGACUUGCCAAUGACAUUUCAUGGCCUUUUUUAGCCUGCCUAAUCACCUGCUUGAGUGCUUUCCUGCCGCUUUAUAGUCCUCAUAAG